ACUGCUCAGUAACACGUGGACAACCUACCCUUAGGUCUGGAAUAAACCUGGGAAACUGGGUAUAAUACCGGAUAGGGCUCGGAUGCUGGAAUGCACCGAGCCUUAAAGCUCCGGCGCCUAAGGAUGGGUCUGCGGCCUAUCAGGGUAGUAGUGGGUGUAAAGUACCUACUAGCCUACGACGGGUACGGGUCGUGAGAGCGAGAGCCCGGAGAUGGAUUCUGAGACACGAAUCCAGGCCCUACGGGGUGCAGCAGGCGCGAAAACUUUACAAUGCUGGAAACAGCGAUAGGGGGACUUUGAGUGCCAGGAUACAAUCUUGGCUGUCGUCGUGCCUAAAAAGCACGGCAUAGCAAGGGCCGGGCAAGACCGGUGCCAGCCGCCGCGGUAACACCGGCGGCUCGAGUGGUGGCCGAUAUUAUUGAGUCUAAAGGGUCCGUAGCCGGCUUUGCAAGUCCCCUGGGAAAUCUGGCUGCUCAACAGUCAGGCUAUCAGGAGAUACUCUUCGGCUCGAGACCGGGAGAGGUGAGAGGUACUUCAUGGGUAGGGGUGAAAUCUUGUAAUCCUUGAAGGACCACCAGUGGCGAAGGCGUCUCACCAGAACGGAUCUGACGGCAAGGGACGAAAGCUAGGGGCACGAACCGGAUUAGAUACCCGGGUAGUCCUAGCCGUAAACGAUACUCGCUAGGUGUCAGCCACGGUGCGACCGUGGUUGGUGCCGUAGGGAAGCCGUGAAGCGAGCCACCUGGGAAGUACGGCCGCAAGGCUGAAACUUAAAGGAAUUGGCGGGGGAGCACA
rnacentral:rRNA from 1 species